GAGGGAGGGAGUGAGGGAGAGAGUGUAGCUAGGGUAGAAAAUGCAUGCAGACGGAGAAGAUGAAAUUACACAUGAAACAACCUCCGAUAUCCCCUCAUUUCUGCUCUUCUCGUCGGACCCAGAAGACGAGAAUAACGCUCCUGCUAAACAUCCCUCAACAACCGACCACCAAGCCUACUAUGAACAAGACGACACUUUCGCUUCCGAUUUCUUUCGCUGCGGAGCCGAUUGGUCUUGCCUAUUACCGCAGGACCAAGACAGUAGUAUUUCUACUACUUCACGCAAUUCGGAGAGAAACCUGAAACAAACCAAUUUGUUCCAGAUGUGGGGACUGAAAAGACCCCAUCUCCAAAACGUCCCGUCUCGAACCCCUUUGAUUUUAAAGAAGAUGAAGAUUGGGAGGGAAGGAUCACCCCAUCUCAGAAACGCCACCACCACCACCGACACCGCUAAUCGCCCCCGUCUUUGCCCCUUCUACAAAAAAAUCCCCGGCACGCCCUUCACUGUUGAUGCAUUCCGCUAUGGUCGUGUUGAAGGAUGCUCCGCAUAUUUUCUAACCCAUUUCCAUAGCGACCACUAUGGCGGACUCAAUAAGGGAUGGUCGCAUGGCCCCAUCUAUUGCACCCCCCUCACUGCUCGCCUCCUUACAAUGCGUCUCUCCGUAAAUCCAUCAUUUAUCUGUCCUUUGGAGCUAAACAUUGAACAUGUAAUCGAAAGAGUCAAAGUGACAUUACUAGAAGCUAAUCAUUGCCCAGGUGCAGCUAUGAUUCACUUUCGUCUCUCAAAUGGCCAAUCCUAUUUGCAUACAGGAGACUUCAGAGCUUGUAAACUGGUGCAAGAUUAUCCCCUUCUUCGAAAUGAACGAGUAAAUGUACUUUACCUGGAUACAACAUAUUGCAACCCAAAGUACAAGUUCCCUUCCAAAGAAGAUGUCUUAAGUUAUGUUGUCAGAAUUACCCAGAACUGUCUUAAAAAGCAACCAAAAACUCUUGUUGUUGUUGGAGCCUAUAGCAUUGGCAAAGAAUGUGUUUAUCUAGCUAUUUCCAAGGCAUUAGGGGUUAAAAUAUAUGCAAACGCUUCAAGGAGACGAAUUUUGCAGUCUUUUGGCUGGCCCGAGCUUUCUGACAUUCUCUGUUUGAAUGGAAAGGACACACCUCUUCAUGUUCUGCCUAUGUCAUCCCUGAAAUUUGAGACUCUUAAGGAUUAUUUGAAGACCUUCAUGGGUCAAUUUGUGGCAGUUUUGGCAUUUCGGCCAACAGGUUGGACCUACUCUGAGACCAUAGGCAACCAACUGGAUCUAAUCAAACCUGGUUCUAAAGGCAAUGUCACAAUUUAUGGGGUUCCAUAUAGUGAGCACUCCAGUUUCACUGAACUACGAGAAUUUGUUCAGUGUUUGAGGCCUGAAAAGAUUAUUCCUACCGUCAAUGUUGGUACUGCAGCUAAUCGAGACAAGAUGCACUCCUACUUCAGAGAAUGGCUGAAAGGUUGACGUCCUAGCAAAGGUUUACAAAUGAAUUUUUCAAUUUCAGAUCUACCUUAUAACCUUAGAGCCUGUGAUAAAUGGACUCUUUAUUUGUCUUUCCUAUCACAAUAAUUUGAUUGGAUGCUUGAUCCAAAGCGUGUUUCUGCAAGUUCCUCCAAGCACUGCAACAUUAGCUUGUCAUAUCCAUGACCAUUCAUCAUAUAGUAAAGAGUUCACAAGUUGGCUGCAGAUGGUUUCACUGGAGUAUGCAGGGUAAGCAGAGAGCUUCAGUGUUUCAGCUUUGAUUUUUACUUUACGGAAAAGAGUCCUCUGAUUCUUGGGAAAAACAAUUAAAUGAGGAGUCAAGACAAAACAUUUAAUGGAUUUGUAAUCCUUUCAUGACAGUGUUUGUAAUCUUCUCAAAUCUGCAUCUAUGUUCCCUGCACCCUUGAAAAAUAUGAAGAUUUGUAUUACGUUUCUCAGAUUUGAGGAGGAACAAAGUCUGGCAGACUUGAAUCGAGGACUUGCAUGGGUACUUCACAAUGGUAAGAAACAAGCUCCUGAUUUUGUCGAUUUUUCCCUUGGCUCCUGGUGAUUUGAUCGUGUCCCAAAGAAAGAAAACAGAAGAGAAAAACAAUGGGAUUAGUCCAAAUCCUACAAUCAUCCUAACAGAUUAUGCAACAAAAAGUGCAGUAUCUACCAAUGCAACGUAUAAGUGAUACUAGGUAUUUUCCCAUGGAUUAUGAAUGGUUAAUUUUCCUGGAAUCAAGUCUGCGAUAUCAACCCUGAAUUUCCAAUAUAAAGACCUUAUGUCGACGAUUAAUUGGAAUUGGAAAUAAGCUCAUUUAGACGAGAACUGUGUCUCCAGAUUUUGGUUUUUUUUUUUUUUUUUUUGCAGAAUCAGAUUGCAAAAUCCUGACUUGCAGGACUACUCUUUUAGGCCUUACCCCUGGUUAAGGUCGUCCAGUUGGUACCACAUACAUUUUGGAAACCAGAGAAGCUGAUUUUAUCUGAACUUUGCUCAUCAUAGGUUUGCUUAUCUUCCUUUGAAGUCCAGAGAGUUCUGAAGAACUUGAGUCUCUCAAGCCACCACUCUACGCCUACGCUCUCUCUUGGUAUGUUUCCCCUGCACCUUUUUGUAUAACUCUUGGCAGAGCUUGAGAUAGAAGACAGAGAAGAGGCAUGAGAGAAGCACCCAUUCCAUUCAUGUAGGUGUAGGUUCAAACAGCCAAAACCUAGCCAUGGAGACGCCCCCAACUGUGGGGGCGUUACUUGCAAACCUUCACGGCAGAAAUUUUACUCGUUAUAAACUUCCAAUAUUCCAUAACCAGACAUUCAACAUCUUUGUUCCUUCGCCCAUAAACCAGACAUCCAACCUCCACCAUUGCACCUUCAUCUCGUAGAAUAGACAUAGGAUAGUAAUGUUAUUAAGUAUAUUGUUAUAUUAUUAUCAUAUAACUUAAUGAU